UAGGGAAUCUUCGGCAAUGGACGAAAGUCUGACCGAGCAACGCCGCGUGAGUGAAGAAGGUUUUCGGAUCGUAAAACUCUGUUGGUAGAGAAGAACGUUGGUGAGAGUGGAAUGCUCAUCAAGUGACGGUAACUACCAGAAAUGGACGGCUAACUACGUGCCAG
rnacentral:rRNA from 1 species